rnacentral:rRNA from 1 species
UCGUAGGCGGUUUGUCGCGUCUGCUGUGAAAUCCCGAGGCUCAACCUCGGGUCUGCAGUGGGUACGGGCAGACUAGAGUGCGGUAGGGGAGAUUGGAAUUCCUGGUGUAGCGGUGGAAUGCGCAGAUAUCAGGAGGAACACCGAUGGCGAAGGCAGAUCUCUGGGCCGUAACUGACGCUGAGGAGCGAAAGCAUGGGGRGSGAACAGGAUUAGAUACCCUGGUAGUCCAUGCCGUAAACGUUGGGAACUAGAUGUGGGGACCAUUCCACGGUCUCCGUGUCGCAGCUAACGCAUUAAGUUCCCCGCCUGGGGAGUACGGCCGCAAGGCUAAAACUCAAAGGAAUUGACGGGGGCCCGCACAAGCGGCGGAGCAUGCGGAUUAAUUCGAUGCAACGCGAAGAACCUUACCAAGGCUUGACAUAUACCGGAAACAUGCAGAGAUGUGUGCCCCGCAAGGUCGGUAUACAGGUGGUGCAUGGUUGUCGUCAGCUCGUGUCGUGAGAUGUUGGGUUAAGUCCCGCAACGAGCGCAACCCUCGUUCUAUGUUGCCAGCACGUAAUGGUGGGAACUCAUAGGAGACUGCCGGGGUCAACUCGGAGGAAGGUGGGGAUGACGUCAAAUCAUCAUGCCCCUUAUGUCUUGGGCUUCACGCAUGCUACAAUGGCCGGUACAAAGGGCUGCGAUACCGUA